rnacentral:lncRNA from 1 species
GGGUGAGUAGAUCUAGGUUUUCCAAGGGGGUUUCCGGGAUAAUUGAGUUCAGGUGUUUUAGAAAUUAGAUUUAAAUUCAGUUUUCAUCUUUAAUUCACUAUAAUUUGUAGGAGUGUCCAAAAAUAGUGAAACCACUUUUGUUAGUUUUUUAUUUUUCUUAAUGCAUUAAAAUUCUUAAACCCUAGGAAAAAGGUAAUAAAA